UCUUAGGGGUUAGGGUAGCGGUUUUAGGGGUUAGGGUUAUCGAUUAGCAUUUCGGUAGCCUAACUCGACAAAGUAUCUCAAUUCGACACAACACCGGUAAGUCGGAACCUUUUGAUCGAUUUCGUAAGAUUUAUUCGAGACUACCUACAAUUAAAAACAGAUUCACAACUUGGUCAGGUGGCUGCGUGUUUUGCACUCCACAUUAAUAUACACAGCAUUACAAACAAAUUGUGAGUAACAAAUUUCCGCGGCCAGCAGCUUGGUAUGCACCUGUAACGUCUUAAGUUCUUGCGUAGGCAUGAAGAAAAUGAGGCAGAAUGAAGCCUGUGACAGGAUGUCUGCCUCUGGUGACAUGAAGGCCAGUCUUUGGUGCCGCGAGGCAUGAGAUAAGAGAGGCAGCGAGGCAUGAGGAGAUACAGGUGUGGAUGGAACAAAACUUCCUUCAGCAGAACGGCUCCAAGACCGAGGCAGUCCUAGCAGGAACACCCCAUCAAAUUCAGGCAUCAUCCAUAGCUAGCAUUGCCUUCUCUGGUCACAGUGUUCCCCUCUCCUCAUCAGUCACCAAUCUUGAUGUAAAACUGGAUUAAUUUCUCACUUUUGAGCACAUUAAGCACCUUUGCAAGACCUUGUUUGUCCACCUCAGAAAUAUUGCUAAGCUUCGCCCUCCCCUCACCCUCCCUGAUGCAGAAAAGUUGGUCCAUGCUUUCAUCUCCUCCCGGCUGGACUACUGUAGGACACUCUUCAUUGGGAUCCCUAAUAAGAGUCUUCUGAGGCUGCAGUACAUCCAGAACUCUGCUGCUAGGAUCCUGAUAUGUGUUCAUAUUUCCGAUCUCUCAACACCUGUCCUUCAGUCACUUCACUGGCUUCCUGUUUCUGCCAGGAUCGAGUACAAGAUCUCUCUCCUCACCCCCUAGUGCAUUUAUGGAAACGCUCCACUUUACUUAAAAGAACUGAUGACAACUCAAACCACAACAUGACCCCCCGCUCUUCACAGUUAAAUCGCCUCCAUCCCCCCAGAGCUGAACUCGGCACGAUGGGCGAUCGGGCCUCUAUGCUGCUCCUCGCCUGUGGAAUGUCCUUCCUGACACUCAGGGCAGCUCAAUCUACUGACAGUUUUAAAAAAGGACUUAAAACCUUCCUUUUUAGCAGAUUUUAUCAUUCCUAACUUUUUGCUUUAUAGCUCUUUUUUUAGAUUGUUGAGGUUUUAUAUCACCUGAGAUUUUCUCAGAAAAUGUAAAGUGCGUUAUAAAUAAAAUGUAUUAUUAUUAUUAUUAUUGUUGUUGUUGUUGUUAUUAUUAUUAUUAAUGGAGACCAAAAGCACAAUUUCUCCAUAAACUGAGGGAUUGGUCUAGCUAGGAUAAGGGGCAUGACUGUAAUCUUCUUAGCUAUGUCACGGCUGUUACACACAAAAAUUCUGUUUCUUCUUGGAUCCUGUAAUUACUCAAUGUGCUGCUUU